CGGGCGGGGCGCGAAAGCCCGGGGGCCGCGCCGGGAAGAGGAAGGCGAGGGGCCGAGGGGGCGCCGGGGGACUGGGGGCGCGCGGCGGCUCCAGGCGGGAGCGGCCGCGGCCGGGCCUGGGGCCGGGCGGCAGGGCUGGGGCGGGGGCCGGGCCGGCCGGAGCGGGGGGUCCCGGGCCGGGGCCGGAGCUGGAGCCGAAGCUGGAACCGGAGCGGAGGGGGGUGUCGGGGCGGAGGGGGCCGGAGCCGGGACCCAGCCAAAGCGGGGAAAUCGGCCAAGUGAGCGCCGCGGCUGUCGCUACCGCUGCCGUCGCCGAAGCUCGCUGGGCGUGCGCGCUGCGCUCUGGCGAGGAGGGCGCUCCGCUCCGCUUUUAUAGCUCCAUGGCGGACCACGUUGAGAACAACAACAGCCUGGUCUGGAGCCAGCGCCAACUUGUGCUUCUUGGAGCCCCUUCCUCGGCCGCUGGCUUCCCGGCCCGCGCCUCCCGGGCGCCACCGAGACCACGGCCGAGCGCCCCGGACAGGGCCCGAGGCUGCGGCGCAGCAGAGAGGCGGCCUGCGCCCGGGAAGGGCUCGGCGAAGUCCUCCGCGGCGGCCUGUGCGAGUCUGGCAGCUCUGAGCUAGUCGGGGUGCAGCAUAACUGGUGCCGAGGAGGCGCUGAACAGUCUUUCUCGAAGCCAAAAAAGCCUCUACUUGGGGAAGCUGAGACCAUGGGGAGACACGUCGGGAGGAGAGCUGAUCCCUUUGGGUCUCAGUUUGUGGACCAACUUUCUUCCUGGGGAAGAACUGAGAGCAGCCUGCGGCCCCCUGCUCAACAGAUGGAGCCCAGGUCCCACGCUUGCCAGGAAUCGAACGUUCCCCGGGCGGUUGCAUGUGGCUGGCUGGUGUAUUUCCACCUCCACUGUCCAGAUGAGGAAACUGAGGCUUCGGAGAGGUUAGGUAAUGUCCCUGAUGAUAUACGGCCAGGGAAAGAUGGCAAAGAAUUUGCUGUUUACCCCAUUGCAAGUAGCCCCCCUCUGCCACCUCCAGACAGUCUCAUACUUUGCUUUUAUACCACUUAUCACUUUCGGAGAUUAUCCUGUCUUGUGCCUGUCGUCCCCACAAGAGCAGGGACCCUGUCUAACUCACUGCUGCAUAGGGCCUGGCACAUAGUAGGCCCUCAAUAAAUAUUUGUUGAAUGAAUGAGAUGGGAUUCAAACCCAGGUCCGGCUGGGAGGCUUGUGCUUCCUGUCACAG
rnacentral:lncRNA from 1 species